rnacentral:lncRNA from 1 species
CAGAAGGGAAAGCAGAGCCGGUUCCCUUCUUCCCUCCUCCUCCUCUGCCCAAACCCCUUCCUGUCCCCUCUUCUUUCUCUCUCACUUGCUCCGCCUGGAGCAGCUGCUGAAUGGUGAAAGAGCAUAACUGCCUUUCCUGCCAGCGGCUGAGAUAAGAGCCAGGUGGUCUCAGUGAAUGACCAAGGGCCAAUGAGAUGGAAGAGCUGAAUCUUAUUCCUGACCAUUCUGACCAACAUAGUGGUCUCAGCAGCAUGGAGCAGGUAUCCAUCCCUUGGGACUCGUCUGAAUCCAUAGAAUGAGGGGCGGACCUUUGUCCAUCUCCUCCCUGGAGGGGAGAUUCAGUUCUUCAGAAACCCACACCAAUGAGGAAGAAGAAGGAGG